UACAGAGGGGGCAAGCGUUGUUCGGAAUUACUGGGCGUAAAGGGCGCGUAGGCGGCCCUUCUAAGUCGAACGUGAAAUCCCCCGGGCUCAACCCGGGAACUGCGUCCGAUACUGGAAGGCUUGAAUCCGGGAGAGGGAUGCGGAAUUCCAGGUGUAGCGGUGAAAUGCGUAGAUAUCUGGAGGAACACCGGUGGCGAAGGCGGCAUCCUGGACCGGCAUUGACGCUGAGGCGCGAAAGCCAGGGGAGCAAACGGG
rnacentral:rRNA from 1 species